AAAAAAACCUGGUGGGGAGAUACCGCAAUCACAAAGGUGGUUUUCCCAGGGUGAGGCUUAUCCAUGGCACUCGGGAUGUUCUGACCCCUGCAAUUUCCCCGAAUGUGGGAAACUCAACUGCAUAAUUUGUGGUAAUGGGACACUGCAUUCGCGCUUUCCCCUG